CAACAAAAUAUUAAACAGAAAUUUGUGGCCUUACUCAAAAGAUUCCGAGUGUCAGAUGAGGUGUUAGCCCUGGAGCACGUGUCUACGGAGCAGAUCCAAGAGGUGGAGGAGGAUCUGGACUUGUUGUACGAUAGUUUGGAAUUGUAUAACCCAAGUGACAGUGGUCCUGAGAUGGAGGAGACUGAGAGCGUGCUCAGCACGCCGAAACCAAAGCUGAAGCCGUUUUUUGAAGGGGUUUCCCAGUCGAGCUCUCAGACUGAGAUCGGGAGCCUGAACAGUAAAGGCAGUCUCAGUAAGGAGUUAUCCAGCCCAGUAAGUGACUCAAACAGAUACUGUGUGUUACAGGGGCGGGGGAAAAGGAAGCUGGUGGUGGUAGUGGAGGAA